AGAUUGAACGCUGGCGGCAUGCCUAACACAUGCAAGUCGAACGGGAGUAGCAAUACUCUAGUGGCGGACGGGUGAGGAAUACGUAGGAAUUUGCCCUUAAGUGGGGGAUAACCCGGGGAAACCCGGAUUAAUACCGCAUGACCUCGAAAGAGCAAAGUGGGGGAUCGCAAGACCUCACGCUUUUGGAGAAGCCUACGUCGGAUUAGCUAGUUGGUGAGGUAAUGGCUCACCAAGGCGACGAUCCGUAACUGGUCUGAGAGGAUGAUCAGUCACACCGGAACUGAGACACGGUCCGGACUCCGUACGGGAGGCAGCAGUGGGAAUAUUGGACAAUGGGCGCAAGCCUGAUCCGAGCAAUCGCCGCGUGUGUAGGAAGAAGGCCGUUUCGGUUAGGUAAAGUACUACGUUUUAAGGUUA
rnacentral:rRNA from 1 species